rnacentral:rRNA from 1 species
UCCAGCAGCCAUAUCACCCUACAACUCACAACUUGCAACUCACUGAAACUAAGCAGGUGUGAGCCUGGUCAGUACCUGAAUGGGAGACCUCCUGUGAAAAACUAAGGUUGCUGCUGGAA